rnacentral:rRNA from 1 species
GAUGAACGCUGGCGGCGUGCCUAAUACAUGCAAGUCGAGCGAACAGACGAGGAGCUUGCUCCUCUGACGUUAGCGGCGGACGGGUGAGUAACACGUGGAUAACCUACCUAUAAGACUGGGAUAACUUCGGGAAACCGGAGCUAAUACCGGAUAAUAUAUUGAACCGCAUGGUUCAAUAGUGAGAGACGGUUUUGCUGUCACUUAUAGAUGGAUCCGCGCCGCAUUAGCUAGUUGGUAAGGUAACGGCUUACCAAGGCAACGAUGCGUAGCCGACCUGAGAGGGUGAUCGGCCACACUGGAACUGAGACACGGUCCAGACUCCUACGGGAGGCAGCAGUAGGGAAUCUUCCGCAAUGGGCGAAAGCCUGCCGGAGCAACGCCGCGUGAGUGAUGAAGGUCUUCGGAUCGUAAAACUCUGUUAUUAGGGAAGAACAAAUGUGUAAGUAACUAUGCACGUCUUGACGGUACCUAAUCAGAAAGCCACGGCUAACUACGUG